rnacentral:rRNA from 1 species
UGGAAGUAAAAGUCGUAACAAGGUCUCCGUGGUGAACCAGCGGAGGGAUCAUUACCGAGUUACAACUCCCAAACCCAAUGUGAACGUUACCAAACUGUUGCCUCGGCGGGGUCACGCCCCGGGUGCGUAAAAGCCCCGGAACCAGGCGCCCGCCGGAGGAACCAACCAAACUCUUUCUGUAGUCCCCUCGCGGACGUUAUUUCUUACAGCUCUGAGCAAAAAUUCAAAAUGAAUCAAAACUUUCAACAACGGAUCUCUUGGUUCUGGCAUCGAUGAAGAACGCAGCGAAAUGCGAUAAGUAAUGUGAAUUGCAGAAUUCAGUGAAUCAUCGAAUCUUUGAACGCACAUUGCGCCCGCCAGUAUUCUGGCGGGCAUGCCUGUCCGAGCGUCAUUUCAACCCUCGAACCCCUCCGGGGGAUCGGCGUUGGGGAUCGGGACCCCUCACCGGGUGCCGGCCCUGAAAUACAGUGGCGGUCUCGCCGCAGCCUCUCCUGCGCAGUAGUUUGCACAACUCGCACCGGGAGCGCGGCGCGUCCACGUCCGUAAAACACCCAACUUCUGAAAUGUUGACCUCGGAUCAGGUAGGAAUACCCGGCUGACUUAAGCAUAUCAAUAAGCGGAGGA